UGUUUAAUUUUGGCCGUAUAGGUUGGGUAGGCAAUUAGAAAGGGGUUGAGGAAGAAACCAAGGGAAGCUUUGUAGCUAAUACUUAUGCCUUUAAACUCCAGGUGUGAAUCCUCAAGAGAAUUGGGUUAUUUUGUUGUAGCCUUGGUUUCCAAAUAAUUGUAAGCACUGUAGGAAAUGGAUUGUGUCAGUGUAACAUGCCUUCUGGAUCACUCUGACUUUUCUCUGAGAAAAAUGAUUGCAAUCAAGGAACAAGAGUGCAAUCAGCUUAAAAGAGAGGGAUUUCCACAUCAUCAGGUCUUUGCUGGGCUGCCAAACAUCUGGAAACCUUGGACAAACAGCUCUUGCACAUGGAUAGAUUCUAUUGCAGUGAGUCCAAUACAUCAGGGUUUGUCCGAGUUGCUCUAUACAAGCUAUGGAAUGCAUAUUUCCACCUUAAUAUACAUCGUUUACUAGACAGAAAUAUGAAUCCUAUUCAGUGUGAUGGAUUGCACUUUGAUUUACAAUAUCAAAGAUUUGGAUCAUUUUAUGCUCCUAAGCAAACGUGGGUACAAAUUUUCAACAUUUUCAUGUGGUGAUUUAGAUUAUCUGUUUCUAUAAUUGUAUUGAAAAUUGAGCAGAGCACUUUUUUUUUUUUUUAUUAGUGACUUGAUAAUUUAGCUCAUGGAUGGUAUCAAAAUACUAGCUGUGAGUUGUCA
rnacentral:lncRNA from 1 species